AGCUCCAAUAGCGUAUAUUUAAGUUGUUGCAGUUAAAAAGCUCGUAGUUGGAUUUUGGGUCGGGGGUACCGGUCCGGUGUUUCACUGUGCACUGGUCUCCCCUUCCUUUCUGCCGGGGACGGCGUUUGCUCUUUACUGAGCGGCGUCGGAGUCGGCGUUGUUACUUUGAAAAAAUUAGAGUGUUCAAAGCAAGCCAUCGCUCUGAAUACAUUAGCAUGGAAUAACAUGAUAGGACUCUGGUCUUAUUUUGUUGGUUUCCGAGACUGGAGUAAUGAUUAAGAGGGACAGUCGGGGGCAUCCGUAUUUCAUUGUCAGAGGUGAAAUUCUUGGAUUUAUGAAAGACGAACUUCUGCGAAAGCAUUUGCCAAGGAUGUUUUCA
rnacentral:rRNA from 1 species